AGAAAAAAGAACAUAGAAUGUUAGCCUACAGAAAGGUCUUGAAUGACAGAAUUCUAGAAUGUAGAAUAUUAGAACUAGAAGAAGCCUGGGAGAUCACUUUGUUCAAACCCCUCAUCUAACUCAAGAAUAGACUGAGGCCAGGAGAGGGAAAGUUUGCCCAAGGGCACAUAGUUAAGUCACUGAUGGAAUUAGGCAGAUGAAGCUAUUUGGACUUAUUUCAAUUCAAUUAAGAAGCACUGCAGGUCUUUGGUCAGAGCCAGCAGAUUCUGUUCUACUAGUGCCUGGGGAACAGGCCUCUUUCCAGUUACAUACUUGGGGCUCUGAGCUUCAGCUCUCAACACAUUCAGCCCUUGAAACUCCAAGGCCCAAGGUCGGUUAAAGGUGGGGAGAACCAGGCUUGGCCAGCCCUGCAAAAAUGAGGAAAUCAGCCAAUUUUGUCUUCAAGGCCUCCAGCUUCCUCUGCCUGGAAUCUCAGAAUCUGAUGCAGAUGGAGGAGAGAAGUAUCUCAAAGACCUUCCAGAGCCAGCUCCAACUGACUGCUUUGCUCAUAGCAUCUGCUGUUGCUAGGUACCAUUUCCUGAAGAUCUAUAACUUGCCUUGGUGCAGAAGACAAACAGAGGAAUAGGGCAGUUUUUGACCUCAUAGUUUAUUUUGGAGAACUAGCAAUACAUACC
rnacentral:lncRNA from 1 species